GACGAACGCUGGCGGCGUGCCUAAUACAUGCAAGUCGAACGCAGUGGGGACGGGUGAGUAACACGUGGGUAACCUCCCAUCAGAGGGGAUAACACUUGGAAACAGGUGCUAAACCGAUAUUGGUGGAUGGACCCGCGGUGCAUUAGCUAGUUGGUGAGGUAACGGCUCACCAAGGCCACGAUGCAUAGCGGACCUGAGAGGAUGAUCGGCCACACUGGAACUGAGACACGGCCCAGACUCCUACGGGAGGCAGCAGUGGGGAAUAUUGGGAAAUGGGCGAAAGUCUGACGGAGCAACGCCGCGUGAAUGAAGAAGGUUUUCGGAUCGUAAAGCUCUGUUGUUAGGGAAGCGGUAUCUAAACAAGAAGCAUCGGCUAACUACGUGCCAGCAGCCGCGGUAAUUC
rnacentral:rRNA from 1 species